UUGACAGCCCUGGAGUCCUGUUUAUCCCCAGAGCAGGUACAGCACCGGCGAUGGCCGAAUAAGCUUCCCCCACAUCAUCCCACCAGUGCAUUCUGGGUCCUGGAGAUACUGCCGCUAGCGGCAGUGGAGUCUCUAUGGCCCAUUCAAUCCUUGGCCUCU
rnacentral:sRNA from 1 species